CGGGACGGCGGGGUGCUAUACAUGCAGUCGAACGCGUUGGCCCAAUUGAUUGAUGGUGCUUGCACCUGAUUGAUUUUGGUCGCCAACGAGUGGCGGACGGGUGAGUAACACGUAGGUAACCUGCCCAGAAGCGGGGGACAACAUUUGGAAACAGAUGCUAAUACCGCAUAACAACGUUGUUCGCAUGAACAACGCUUAAAAGAUGGCUUCUCGCUAUCACUUCUGGAUGGACCUGCGGUGCAUUAGCUUGUUGGUGGGGUAACGGCCUACCAAGGCGAUGAUGCAUAGCCGAGUUGAGAGACUGAUCGGCCACAAUGGGACUGAGACACGGCCCAUACUCCUACGGGAGGCAGCAGUAGGGAAUCUUCCACAAUGGGCGCAAGCCUGAUGGAGCAACACCGCGUGAGUGAAGAAGGGUUUCGGCUCGUAAAGCUCUGUUGUUAAAGAAGAACACGUAUGAGAGUAACUGUUCAUACGUUGACGGUAUUUAACCAGAAAGUCACGGCUAACUACGUGCCAGCAGCCGCGGUAAUACGUAGGUGGCAAGCGUUAUCCGGAUUUAUUGGGCGUAAAGAGAGUGCAGGCGGUUUUCUAAGUCUGAUGUGAAAGCCUUCGGCUUAACCGGAGAAGUGCAUCGGAAACUGGAUAACUUGAGUGCAGAAGAGGGUAGUGGAACUCCAUGUGUAGCGGUGGAAUGCGUAGAUAUAUGGAAGAACACCAGUGGCGAAGGCGGCUACCUGGUCUGCAACUGACGCUGAGACUCGAAAGCAUGGGUAGCGAACAGGAUUAGAUACCCUGGUAGUCCAUGCCGUAAACGAUGAGUGCUAGGUGUUGGAGGGUUUCCGCCCUUCAGUGCCGGAGCUAACGCAUUAAGCACUCCGCCUGGGGAGUACGACCGCAAGGUUGAAACUCAAAGGAAUUGACGGGGGCCCGCACAAGCGGUGGAGCAUGUGGUUUAAUUCGAAGCUACGCGAAGAACCUUACCAGGUCUUGACAUCUUGCGCCACCCUAGAGAUAGGGCGUUUCCUUCGGGAACGCAAUGACAGGUGUGCAUGGUCGUCGUCAGCUCGUGUCGUGAGAUGUUGGGUAAGUCCCGCACGAGCGCACCCUGUACUAGUGCCAGCAUAGUGGGCACUCUAGUGAGACUGCGGUGACAAACCGGGAGAAGGUGGGGACGAACGUCGAUACAUCAUGCCUAAUAACUUGGCUAACACACGUGCCUCCA
rnacentral:rRNA from 1 species